UAUCAUAUUGAUAUUUCUUUUAUAAGAAUGUAGAAGAGAAAUUUGAAUAUGUUUCAAUAUUUUAUAAGUCACUUUAUUUGUAUAACAGUUAACAAGAUAGAAUAACUAAAUUUCAUUUACUGACAAACCUAAGCAGGUAGAUAUUUCAAUGGGACAAUGACAAUGAGAACCAAAUAAAUGGUGUUAAUAUGUUUAUAGUGCCAUUUGCAAUAUAUUUAUUUUGAUUGAUUCAUGUUUAUCAUAUAAUAAAAGGGAUUUUGUUGUUCAAGUAAUUAACAAAAAAGCUUCCUAUUUUUGUCAAGUUAUAGUUUUGGUUUAAUUAUACCCCAUGCAACGAAGUUGCGGAGGUAAUAAUGUUUUUGACC
rnacentral:lncRNA from 1 species